rnacentral:rRNA from 1 species
GACGAACGCUGGCGGCGUGCUUAACACAUGCAAGUCGAGCGGUAAGGCCCUUUCGGGGGUACACGAGCGGCGAACGGGUGAGUAACACGUGGGUGACCUGCCCUUAGCUCUGGGAUAAGCCUGGGAAACUGGGUCUAAUACCGGAUAUGACUCCAUAACGCAUGUUGUGGGGUGGAAAGCCUUGUGCGGCUAGGGAUGGGCCCGCGGCCUAUCAGCUUGUUGGUGGGGUGAUGGCCACCAAGGCGACGACGGGUAGCCGGCCUGAGAGGGCGACCGGCCACACUGGGACUGAGACACGGCCCAGACUCCUACGGGAGGCAGCAGUGGGGAAUCUUGCGCAAUGGGCGAAAGCCUGGCGCAGCGACGCCGCGUGGGGAUGACGGCCUCGG